UCCUCCCUCUUUCUUCGUGCUUAACACAUGCAAGUCGAACGGAAAGGCCCUGCUUUUGUGGGGUGCUCGAGUGGCGAACGGGUGAGUAACACGUGAGUAACCUGCCCUUGACUUUGGGAUAACUUCAGGAAACUGGGGCUAAUACCGGAUAGGAGCUCCUGCUGCAUGGUGGGGGUUGGAAAGUUUCGGCGGUUGGGGAUGGACUCGCGGCUUAUCAGCUUGUUGGUGGGGUUGUGGCUUACCAAGGCUUUGACGGGUAGCCGGCCUGAGAGGGUGACCGGCCACAUUGGGACUGAGAUACGGCCCAGACUCCUACGGGAGGCAGCAGUGGGGAAUAUUGCACAAUGGGCGGAAGCCUGAUGCAGCAACGCCGCGUGCGGGAUGACGGCCUUCGGGUUGUAAACCGCUUUCGCCUGUGACGAAGCGUGAGUGACGGUAAUGGGUAAAGAAGCACCGGCUAACUACGUG
rnacentral:rRNA from 1 species